UUACUUAGUUUUGAACAUCACUAACUGGGCUUCCUCCGCUGGCCCAGCAUCCCAUAUUAUCCCAUCUGGUGGCUGCUCUGUUUAUAUUUGCUGCUCCCUGCGCGGCGCGGCGGUUGGUGGGGGGAGUCUUGAAAGUCGUAAAAGUAAACAGAGCAUGUGGUGUACUCCAUGGAUGGCAGUGCGCCGUAAAGCGCUUAAUUUUUUGUUGCCCUUCGCUGGCUCCAAUUUGAAGGAAGGUGAGAAAUAUGGCGCUCUGGCUGCCCUGCUACUCCAUUUCCUGGCACACAAUAUGUAUGCUAGACGAGUAUGGCGAGGAAUUAAGGCGGCGCACUUUAAGGAGUUGCUUAAAGAUGAGGAUUACUAGCCGAAAGGAGCCGAAAUAAUUUGACCCACAUUUUGGGGCAAGUUACUGGCCGCGGGACAUGAGUUUAGUUGGACGGGCGGGGGUCCCUGGGAACGGCGGCCACACAGCAGUGUACUCUGUGUACUUGGCUCAUGCAUAACGCAAAUGCUGGAAACGCCGCAAGGAGCCGCAUCGGCAUCCUUGCCAGUUUCGUCCUCGUCGAGGUCCCAGCAUGUCCACGCAAUAACGAUUGCGGGCAUAAUGCCCAUAAUGUCCUCAUAAUUACUGCCCACUCACCCCGCUCCUCCUGGGGGAGCUUGAACGUCCUGUCUGGACCGAGCAAGCAGCUCCCAGGACGACGAACGACGAAGGACGCAGGACACAGGACGCAGGACCAACGUGUUGACACCGCCUGGCCUGUGCAAUUUGCAUUUAAUGUACGCAUUGUUUUAUUAAUUUUGAGUGUUCUCAUUAAAACUCACACAACGUUCCUGGAAUUAAUAUUUGCGCUGGAAAAAGUGCACCUUCAGGCGGUGGAAACUAAGUGAAGAACGACGGUGUCGUACGAUGAAU
ensembl:ncRNA lncRNA:CR45359 long non-coding RNA:CR45359